rnacentral:rRNA from 1 species
AGUGAACGCUGGCGGUAGGCCUAACACAUGCAAGUCGAACGGCAGCACAGUAAGAGCUUGCUCUUACGGGUGGCGAGUGGCGGACGGGUGAGGAAUACAUCGGAAUCUACUUUUUCGUGGGGGAUAACGUAGGGAAACUUACGCUAAUACCGCAUACGACCUACGGGUGAAAGCAGGGGAUCUUCGGACCUUGCGCGAUUGAAUGAGCCGAUGUCGGAUUAGCUAGUUGGCGGGGUAAAGGCCCACCAAGGCGACGAUCCGUAGCUGGUCUGAGAGGAUGAGCGGCCACACUGGAACUGAGGAAAGGUCGAGACUCCUACGGGAGGCAGCAGUGGGGAUUAUGGGAGAAGGGGCGCGAGUCGUAUCCAGCUAUACCGGGUGAGUAAAGAAGGCCUUCGGAUUGUAAAGCCCUUUUGUUGGGAAAGAAAAGCAGCAGGUGAAUACCCCGCUGGUCUGACGGUACCCAAAGAAUAAGCACCGGCUAACUUAGUG